rnacentral:lncRNA from 1 species
UUGUGAGCAGCAAAACCUGUGCGACUGCAUCUGACAUCGCCAGGAUGGGGGCCCAACCAAGGACUACUGCAGGAACAUACCAGGAAGCCAAGAGAAUCCACAGACCCUUUGAAGGAACUAGAUCACUGCUGCAGUCUCCCUGAGAUGACAAAAAACUGUCCCCAGAGACGUGAAGAUGCAUGGAAUAACACGUGAAGAGAGGAAACUUCGGGCCUGUGGUCAAAAUGUGUUCACCACGGCAGACAACUGCUUGGGUGACAGCUUUGGCCUCUGGAUGAAUUCUCCUUGGCGAGCAAUCGUCCCACCUGUAGGUGCCUUCAUGAUCGUCUGUGUGCAGGGCACCAAGCAGGCCAUCUAAAGCCACUAAUCUCAAAGAGAGCUUACCCAGGGACAGGACUUUCCAAAAGGAAAGGAGCACAAUAGAAGAGAAUGGCUGCUGCUAAGUUCCAUCCAACAGGGGCCUCUUUUGAAAAGUCGUCCUCAUCCACAGAUGGUCAACAUUAUGAUGGAAUUUUGUUUUCCUCUCAUGUGAAUUUGGAGCUGAUAGAUGCUUCUCAGCUCCUUGCUGGGACCUCACUGACAAACCCGCUGGCCCCAGAACUACUUGUGACAUCAGGAUGACGCUUGGUACAAGCCAGGCACUGAGCUGGGCAUUGAGGAUGAAGAGAUGAAACACAAUUCUAGCAUCUAAAUAGACCUUGGUUGGAAGUUGAGUUCCAGAGUGGGAUAUCAGACUCAAGGCCCAGACUUCACUUCUGGUCUCCUGACUUCCAAGUGAACAGUGUUGCAGCUUCCCUGACUGCAGUUAUAGGAGAAGACAGGGAGGAGAUAAAGAUGAGAGUGCCUCGGGAAGAGCAGGGAUGGAGGAGACAACCUGAGUCUUCUGAUCCAAAGGAGUGUGAAGAUGGAGUGACAUUGAGAGAACUGCAGAAGAAAGGGACUUGGCAUUUAUGGAGCAUACACCUGUACCAUCAUAUCAAAAUGCAACACAGCUAUUGCCUCUUGGAACAUUAUAAUAGAAUGGGGAAAUCAAGUAUAUAAAGAGGCAUGUGAAAUUGGCAAGACAAGCAUCAAUUUACAGAGGAGGAAACUGAGGUCCAGAGAGAUCAAUUAAACUGUCUAAAGUCACAUGGCCUGACAUAAAAGUAGUGGAGAGUCAAACUCAGGGCUAUGUACCUGCGGUGGUGGACUUCAUCUUUCCAAUCCUACUUCCUUAUCUGUGAAGUGGGCAAACCAAUCAUUUUUACCCCAGAGAGCUGUGAAGAACCUGUAUCAGUUAUACAGAAAGUUAAAGAACUUAUCGCAGUGCCUGGAAGCCAGGAUGUGGAGCCAGGAGAGAAGGGGCAUUCAAAGGGCCUGGGAGACCCUUGGUGAAAACAAUCAGUUGGUUUCAACAUCCCAGAGAGAUUCUCAAUCAGGGAGCUCACAGAGACCAAAGUUGGCACACAGCACUCUCCUAACACUAAAGACUCUACAACUCCUUCUUCAUGGGAUGUGUGAAAGCACAGAGAGGGUGAUGAAGAGAAUGGGAAAGGUUGCAGCAAGGUUGGCUAGCAGGACUGAAGGUGAAAAGACUCACUACAGAGAAAGUUCAGGCAGCAUCAGAGGAUGAGGCCAGUGGAGACAUGGCUGCUUGGAAAUUGUCCUUAAAGGAACCACAGGCAAGCGGGAGGUAGAAAUCAAAACCAGGGUGGCUGCCACAGGCGAUGAAGCUAGAGUGAAAGAGGUUGGCUGAGGUUAAACCAAAGAACAGUCCAGAAGAUGGGAGAAUCCCAACAAAUUUUCAGUCAGUAUUUCCCAAAGUGGGUUCCUGAAAAUUGUUCCUUUAGAAAAAGCAUCAUAGUCAAGCACAUUUAGGAAACUUUCCUUAAUUCCCCUCUCUUUGAAAUUCACAAGCCCCUUUGACAUAUUAAAGUUUCUGUAAAGUCAGUGAAUAAAGAAACCUGUUUACAUUUGA